rnacentral:lncRNA from 1 species
UGAUCUUAAAUUCAAGUCUUUUAUCAUCAUUUUUUAUAAAAUUUUUAUUUUGAGCCGUUCAUUUUUAGACUACUUAUUUGAUAGGUAAAUAAUGUCGAAAAAUUAUGAAAUUUAAUUUUCAAAUACUUUUAGUAGUGUAGAUCAAAUAUAACGGAGCCGAUCAUUGAUUUGGAAGCCGCAUCAUUGAAAACAACUUGGUAGCACGGAGACCUCCGUGCUACCGAUAGUAUACCAGCCUAGCUCUCUCUCUCUCUCUCUCUCUCUCUCUAUAUAUAUAUAUAUAUAUAUAUAUAUUGAUAAUUCACCAGAUAGGAGGGAAUAUGGGAAAAGCCUAUGGGAAAAGCACACGUGUCCUAAUAAUAUGCCCUGCUUCUUCUAUGUUGUACAAGGAAUAAUACAGGUACCUAUGAAAUCCAUUGCCACAACUUAGGAUAAGUCCAUGCACUAUCACUAUUAUUGAUCUAUAAUGUAAAGAGAUUAGUACUUUUAAUUAUCUCUGAUAAAGUACAAUUUUUUAAAAUUAAGAUGAGGAAGAUAGCGGGAAAAGGGCACGUGUUGUACUGUUAUGCUCUCCUCUUCUAAGAUUUUGUACAAGGUCCUUCCAAAUUAAUAGCAAAUAAUACAAAUACAUAUAUACGUACAUAAUAUUACCUUAAUAACGUACUGCUUCAUGUACUCGUUGUAGAGGGACCAUCAUCGUAAAUGGAACAUCAACUGAAACAGUUAGUACUUGUGGAAACUAUUUCGUGGACCUUGUGUACCACUUCAUCUGAGGACCGUACCACAAAAUGCAGCUAUGGGGUUCUCUGGUUUGAUGAGAACAAUGGCACCUUUACAUUUGUAAAUUAGGUGUCUCAUUUAUUUGAUAGUUCUUACUCUCUAUUAAAUAUAAAAAUAUUUAAAUAUUAUUUUCUAUUAGUUUAAAUUUUUAGAGGACAACGAUUGGCUUCUAACGUUAUUAAUUUUUUUCUAUUUAAUUUAAGUUCAUGUUAUAGACCUUGCAAAAUGUCUUGAGUCCAAAUAUAAGAAGUUUUAAAUAUAAAAAUACAUAAGUAUUAUUUUUUAAUGACUUAAGCUUUUAAAGUACAAUCGUUGUUUCACGUCUAUCUUUAUUUAAAAUUUUGUAAACUUUACCAUCUAUCUUUUUUUUGUGUUUCAUAUUUACCGUCUAUUACUUUUCUCCUUUUUAAUCUCUACUGCUUAAUUAACUAUAAACAAUUAAUCAAUAAAGAUGAGAAAUUAAAAAGAAAGUCAAUUAAAAAAGAGUAAUUGUAAAUGUACAUCUCAAAAGGAGGUGUAAAGAGGGUAAAAUGGUAUUUGCAUCGACGGUCCACGGAUGACAUUUGGAGCGGGUCUAGGGAAUUAUUUCUCUAGACCACUUCCCUCAUCAUUCUCGGGUUAGAACUUAGAACCACUCGCAUCUAAGUGGCUCGACCCUGAUUCUGACCAAUCCAUUAUUUGAGUCCCACAUGAAAUCACAUUUUAAGUGUUAUCCUCAAGCCAUAAUAUUUAGCAAUUAAAAGAGAUAUCAUCCUUCACACAACUUUUUCACUAAAUCCCAAUCAUCUAACUGAUUUUUGUAAAAUUAAUAAUAAAAAUUUCAUAAAAAUACUUGUUGAAUUACUGGGUGGGACCGAAAGGUCCAUUAAAAAAAAGAAAAUCCAUUACCUCUUUAUACGAUCUUUUAUGUUGAAUAUAAUAUUAAGAUAUUAGUUUGUGUAAGGACCUCUUAAUUUAUAGAAUUUUUGCUGUAGUGUGUUCCCCAUAGGAUAUUUUUAAUUGCUACUGAGAAAUUGAGCUCUCAUUAAAGAACAUUCAAGUCACGGUUUCACUUCAAUCUUUAUCGAGGGUGGUUGAUGCUGAAUUUAAACCUAAGGUUUUAUUGUUUUGCUUCUCAUUUACAACUCUGUCCUAAGUUUCCUGUACUCCUUUGAAUGCCAACAUUAAUUUUCUAAGUACAAAACACUUGAUAGAUGCGUCUAGUGUUUGUGUGCUUCGAUCCGUGAAAAAAAAACGGCGAUGGGCCCUCCAAUAUUAUUCGUAAGGCGAUUUAUUUAUCGUAGACGCGCGUCAAAUAUUGUGGGGGGAAUAGUACUACUCUAAUAAGUAUAUAGAACGCCAAGUUAGUGUUCGAACCAAUGCUAUGUUCAUAUCCAUUUUACAUGCACGUAAACAAUGUGACAGUUUUUGAUUGGCCGAAUUCUGCAGUUACAGAAUGGCAGCAGUCGUAAAGCUUGAAAGAAACUAAUCUUAUGCUUUAAAUAAUUAUAAGAUAUUAGAGACAAGAAGCUCGUUUUAGCUUUCUAUUACAGUAGAAACUAAAGAUCUUCUACUUGUCCAAGUGCAUAUGAGCUGCUUACAUUAGAUCCAGUUUUGUUGCAGCAGAGGAGGGCUUUUUCUUUUUUAACCACCGGUUUCUUUCUAAUUGUUAGUUUUUGCCCAGUUUUGCUGCUUAUCAUUACUGUUUAGUGGCAAACUUAGAUGUUUAUGUUAGAGACAAGAAAAAGAUGAGCACCACUUUUGAACAUUGAUGCUGGUGCAUAGAGAUAAAAGGCUAGGCAUAAAUGUGCAUAACCCCUCUCCUAAACUUGAAUUGAAUUCGCCACCUAACCGCGUAAAAAGAAGAGGAUAAGUAAAGCAAUGGUCACUAACCUAAUUGCGAAAUUUCUGCGUAUCAAACUGCAAAGCUCUCGCGCCUAGAAGGCGCAUUAUAUAUAUAGGCCAUGGCUUCUAUACUAUUAUGAGUAUUGGAGCCCUCGUACUCAUAAGUUGUUUUCAGUGAUGAAGCUUCCGAAUCGACGAUCCACUCCGUUAAAUAUGAUCUAGAGUAUUUGAAACUUCUAGAAAAUAUAUUUCGUAAAUUUUCGAAAUCAUAAUAAAGUCCAUCAAGUGAGCAUAAAAUGAACGGUCAAAAUCGAACGACGUCCUAAAAAAGAAUGAUCGGAUCCUUCAAUUUAAGAUCAGAGUUAUUGAUUUUUAUCUAUGUAGUGAAUAGAAUUUUCUAUCAAAAAUUCAACAAAUUCCGAUUCUUUUACACCGUUAAACUAGCAAGUAUCCCAUACCGGCCGUUAAAAAUUGUCAAAUUUGUGACCUCUUGAUCGUAAGGUAAAUGAUGUUGAAAAUUAUAAAAUUUGAUUUCUAGAAGUUUUAAAUACUGUAAAUAACAUUUAAUGGUGUGGAUCGUCGAUUCAGAAGCUCUAUCAUCGAAAACAACUUAUGAGUACGAGGGCGAUCAUACUCAUAAUAGUAUAGUAGCCGGACCCUAUAUAUAUAUAUAUAUAUAUUAACAAUAGAAUUAGGCUAGAAUACUAUCAAUAGGACCAAGUUAUUGGUGCUAUUAGUUUUUUAGCUUUUGGAUUGAAAAAUGUGCGGUUAGGAUGAUGUGGGCCCCCUAGAGUUGAGUGAAUAGUUGACUGAAUAUUAUAAUCUAACGGAUAAAAAAAUUAAAGGGUUAAAUCUAACGGUAGAAAAUUCGAUAGCACAAAAUUCUUGGUGCUAUCGAUAGUAUCCCAGCCGGACUCUUAACAAUAAUUUUGUUGAGAGUUUCUCACUUCUCACUUGUCAUUUCACGAGUACCCUGUCGUCGCAUUGGAGUACAUAUCAAGUCGCAAGAGCAAACCUAAUGAAGCUCAGAGCUUUGAAGACUAAGCAUAAAAGCCUUUUUACUCUGAGAGCUUCAAAGAGCCCAUCAAGGCAUCAACUCACAUUCAUAUACUAAGAGACAUCCAAAGAGAGAGAGAGAGAGAGAGAGAGAGAGAAAAGCGAUCAACAAGACAACAUUCACUGUAUUGAACAAUAACAAGUGAUCUCCAAUCCUGCUUCUGCUUUUCACAACAGUAACCAUCAAUAGUGAGAGAAUAUAAAGUACGUCGAAACUCCAAUUUAGUGCUACUUUUGCAGCGGAAAGAAUCUAUCUACUGAAAAAACUUUCAAUUUAAGACUUACAAAAGUGAUACUCAGACAACACCUCAUCUAACAACACGCCACCCAACAGAAGGACCAAACAUGCCCUAAACUCAAAGAGAGCCACAUUACUUUGUUAUAUUGACCGGUGAAAUUGCUUUCGUUUAAGUUUUAACUAUUUCUUUAUCCUGUGCUUUUGUUCCAUUUCUGAUAUUGAAAAGAAACUCUACUUUCGAGUUUCAUCUCACCUGAACACUACAAGCAACAAAAAAGAAGGCACUGUAUGCAUCCUCUGUAACAAUUAUUAAGCUGAAUUGCAAGCAAAUCUUAGCAAGAUAAACAUGAAAAUGACCAUGUAACUACUACAUUCAUGUCACCUCUAUUGAGGAAAAAGGGAUUUACAAUACAGAUCCAAAAGAGAAGCACAUUUCUUUCUCUUAUUUUUGGGUGUGCCUACUACUCGAGUUCCUCUACCAAUGUACCUACACACUCAUAAAGCUCCUUCCUUUUUUACUACGCCAGGUAAUCAGGGUCACAAUUGAAGACCAUAUCGACAACGUCAUAAGAGAAAAUUGGAAGAAGCAAAGGUGCGCAUUAAUCUUCUAUCAUCUGCUGCCUUUGUAUCUCGUCUAUAUACGACAUGAAAGAGUUUUCGGAACCAUUCGUCGCAUUAUUACUGCCUCGGCAUUGCAACAGCUGUUGCUGAAGGCUUUGAAUAAACUCGUUCAACCGCUGAAUAGUCUUUUCUUGGGAUAAGAUAAUCUACAACAACGGAGUAACAAUCACGCUUAAUUAAUCACUUAAAUUAUAGUGCAAAAGCGUUACGCAAAAAGAAAGUAUAUUAGGUCGGGGUUUACCUUCUCUUUUACAACUUCUUGUCUAUUUGAAAUAUGCUGCUGAUUCUGAGAAAUGCCGGGAGUUGUUUCCAGUUCGCUCACAAGUUGUUGCUUCCAUUCGAAUUGCGAUGUUAUGAUCAGUAUCACUAGCAGAAAAACAAGAACUAUAGGUCUUGACAUCAUGUCGAAUGAUUAGGACGAACCUAUAAAUGAAGUUAGGUAUAUUUAGCAUUAUCAUCAACAAGAUUAAAGUUUAUAUCACUAAAGCAACAAAAAAUUGGGGUAGUUGAUAUUUAUUGCAAAAAGAAUAAACACCACCAACAUAACAGUAACAAGCACAAAAGGGAAAACAACACGAACAACAUAACAACCACAAAAACAGCAGCAGAAGCAGUGAGUCAAGUUCCAACUUUUCGAUGUCAACUUCAACAACCUUUUUCGUCGUUUCUACCGUACAAGUUUACUCCCCAAAACAACGAAAACCUUUCCACUCAUUUAAAGGAGUAUCCUUUACUAUGUAUCUAUAAGUCAUACUGAGCAUAAAAACCCAAUAAUCACGUGUAUCAUUCCUAACAUUUCCUACACAGCUCCAUGUUUCGAUCAUAUGGUGUCAUUUAAAUCUUCACACUCCUUGAACAAUUGGUAAAUAUAUCUCCUCGAUAUGUAUCGAUACAUCACGUGCAUCUCUCCUGAGAUAGUCGCAAAAGUCUAUUUACUAUGAUUAUUCAAUGAUAACACUAAUUGCCACAUCUCCUAGAAUAUCUCAUGAUUAAUGAACUUGAAGGAAUCCUCUUUUCCCAGUGCUAUCCACUAUUAGCCCAAAAGACCAACACCUUGUAUAUAUCAUCUUUUACUGCAUAUGAAAAUUUUUCAUUUGCUCUAAUAUCCCUAUUGAGCUCUCUCAAUUCUACCACUCAGCAGCAACAAAAUUGAUCAUAACCCAGUUAAUAUCCACACAUUCUGUAACCAAUCAUGGAACAACUACCCCAUAUCCCUACAUAUAAACAAACAUUCGUAGCUUUUACUAACCUCAAUCAUGCAUUUGAAUCCGCAUUAGCUGCUACUUUUUUCUCAAUUCACAUACUAAACCUUGCAUAAGGGGAAAAAAAAUAAAAAAUCGGUGAGAUUACUCACAGAGCAUUCCAUUAGUCGCGACGCUCGAUCGAUCGAAAGGGCUCCGUCCCCUUCUUCGUUCCCGAUCUUCGAUUAGAGGGUUAGGGUUUUUGGCCGAUUCCGUGCUCCAAUAGCGGGCGAUGGGUUUCUGAUUUGGGGAAAGCAUCGUCGACAAUUUUGAUUAUUUUCCCCUCACAUUCUUUUUUUUUUUUGGAUCGGGUCUCCCACGUAAUCCAUGAACCGUCCAUGAGUGGUUUCACACCAUUUUUUUUUUUUUUAAUUUUAGUACGAUGUGCUGUAAAUUGUAUCAAUUUAGUAUUUCGUAAUUUUAUUUUUCUCUUUUUAUUAUUUAAUUAUUAAUUUUUUUUUCGUUAAAUCAGUAUCAAAGUUAAAAUUAAAAGAUAAUGUGAAUAUUCGAUAAAUCUAAAUAAGGUAUCUGACGUUUUUUAUAUAUAAUUUAUCGAAAUGUUACGGAGAAAUUGAUAAAAAGAGAAAAAUAAAAAUACAGAAUACUAAAUUGAUAUAUUUUAAAUCAUAAAUUACUAAAAUAUGAAACACUGCGGUGCUAUUUGAAGUUUUUUUUUUUUUUUGCCCUCUUAUUUUUGGGAUUGAAGGAUGAUGCGGUCUAGGGAUGACAUGGUGAACCAGAUCCAGGUAAGUUUCAUCUUUUUUUGGCUCAUUUCCCUCCUUAACUGGGCCGUGUAACAUUUGCGCGGGAACCCUCACACUAUUGGACCCCAUUAUUUGGGCCCCUCGCCUCACUUUGGGGCCUCAUCGAAACCAUGUGAAAACCCAGGGAAACCUCCUCUUCCCUGUUUGGCCUCUCCCCUNAUAAAACCCAAUAAUCACGCGUAUCGUUCCUAACAUUUCCUACACAGCUCCAUGUUUCGAUCAUAUGGUGUCAUUUAAAUCUUCACACUCCUUGAACAAUUGGUAAAUAUAUCUCCUCGAUAUGUAUCGAUACAUCACGUGCAUCUCUCCUGAGAUAGUCGCAAAAGUCUAUUUACUAUGAUUAUUCAAUGAUAACACUAAUUGCCACAUCUCCUAGAAUAUCUCAUGAUUAAUGAACUUGAAGGAAUCCUCUUUUUCCAGUGCUAUCCACUAUUAGCCCGAAAGACCAAAACCUUGUAUAUAUCAUCUUUUACUGCAUAUGAAAAUUUUUCAUUUGCCCUAAUAUCCCUAUUGAGCUCUCUCAAUUCUACCACUCAGCAGCAACAAAAUUGAUCAUAACCCAGUUAAUAUCCACACAUGCUGUAACCAAUCAUGGAACAACCACCCCAUAUCCCUACAUAAAAACAAACAUUCGUAGCUUUUACUAACCUCAAUCAUGCAUUUGAAUCCGCAUUAGCUGCUACUUUUUUCUCAAUUCACAUACUAAACCUUGCAUAAGGGGAAAAAAAAUAAAAAAUCGGUGAGAUUACUCACAGAGCAUUCCAUUAGUCGCGACGCUCGAUCGAUCGAUCGAUCGAAAGGGCUCCGUCCCCUUCUUCGUUCCCGAUCUUCGAUUAGAGGGUUAGGGUUUUUGGCCGAUUCCGUGCUCCAAUAGCGGGCGAUGGGUUUCUAAUUUGGGGAAAGCAUCGUCGACAAUUUUGAUUAUUUUCCCCUCGCAUUCUUUUUUUUUUGGAUCGGGUCUCCCACGUAAUCCAUGAACCGUCCAUGAUAUAAUUUUUUUUAUGUGGUUUUUUUUUUUAUUUUAGUACAAUGUGCUGUAAAUUGUAUCAAUUUAGUAUUUCGUAAUUUUAUUUUUCUCUUUUUAUUAUUUAAUUACUAAUUUUUUUAUUAAAUCAGUAUCAAAGUUAAAAUUAAAAUAUAAAGUAAAUAUUCGAUAAAUCUAAAUAAGAUAUCUAUAUCUAACGUUUUUUAUAUAUAAUUUAUCGAAAUGUUACGGAGAAGUUGAUAAAAAAAAUAAAAAUAAAAAUAUAGAAUACUAAAUUGAUACAUUUUAAAUCAUAAUUACUAAAAUACGAAACCACUGCGGUGCUAUUUGAAAUUUUUUUUUUUUCCCCCUCUAAUUUUUCGGAUUGAAGGAUGAUGCAGUCUAGGGAUGACAUGGUGAACCAGAUCCAGGUAAGUUUCAUCUUUUUGGGCUCAUUUCCCUCCUUAACUGGGCCGUGUAACAUUUGCGCGAGAACUCUCACACUAUUGGACCCCAUUAUUUGGGCCCAUCGCCUCACUUUGGGGCCUCAUCGAAACCAUGUGAAAACCCCGGGAAACCUCCUCUUCCCUCUUUGGCCUCUCCCCUCCCUAUGACCCUCCUCCGCCUCCCCAAACCCUCCUCCCCCACCGCCGCCGCCGCCGCCGCGGAGCCGAGCGUCGCCGCACUCCUCGGCCUCUGCCGCAGCGUCCGCGCCCUGGAGCAGGUCCACGCCCUCAUCAUCCGCAGGGGCCUGGAGCAGCACCACGCCCUCCUCACCCGCUUCGUCUCCCUCUGCGGCUCCUUCGCCGCCCCCUCCUACGCUGCCGCGGCGUUCCGCGCCGUCGCCGCCCCCUCCCUCCUCCUCUUCAACGCCGUCCUCGCCGCCCAUGCCCGCAGCUCCCCGCUUCCCGCCACCCUCGCCCACUUCAACCUCCUCCGUCGCCGCUCCCCCGACCCCCCCGACGCCUUCUCCUUCCCCUCCCUCCUCCGCUCCUGCGCCCGCGCCGCCGCGCUCCCCGCCGGCGCCGCCGCCCACGCCGCCGCCCUCCGCUCCGGCCUCGACGCCGACCUCUUCGUCCGCACCGCCCUCGUCGACUUCUACGGCAAGUGCCGCGACGUCGCCGCCGCGCGCCGCCUCUUCGACUCCAUGGAGGUACGCAACAAUGUCUCCUGGACCGCGAUGCUCAUCGGGUAUCUCGCGGUUAAUGAUCUAGCGUCGGCCCGCGCCCUGUUCGACGAAAUGCCUGCGAAAAAUGUGGUGUCUUUCAAUGCCAUGAUCGACGGGUAUGCCAAAUCCGGGAAUCUGGCGAGUGCUCGGAAGCUGUUUGACGAAAUGCCGGAGAGAAAUAAAGUAUCUUUCACUUCCUUGAUAGAUGCGUAUGCAAAGGCCGGAGACAUGGUCUCUGCGAGGUCUUUGUUUGAUAAAUUGAAGGAUAGGGAUCUAUUCUCAUGGUCGGCAGUGAUCUCGGGCUAUGCCCAGAAUGGUCGUCCCGGUGAGGCCUUAAAGAUCUUCUCUGAUUUCUACGAACAGAACAUCAGACCCGACGAGUUUAUUGUUGUAGGGCUGAUGUCGGCAUGUGCUCAAUUGGGUAGCCUCACAUUGGCCAAAUGGGUCGAUUCAUACAUUACCCGUUGUUCAAUCGAUACGAACAACUCCCGUGUCUUUAUAGGCCGUAUAGACAUGAAUGCAAAGUGUGGCAACAUGGAAAGGGCUUCUCUCCUGUUCGAUUCAAUGCCGGAUAAAAAUGUUGUCUCAUACUGUUCUAUGAUGCAAGGGUAUCUUCUUCAUGGGUCUGGAGCAAAGGCCGUCGAGCUCUUCUCCCAGAUGCUUGAGGAGGGGCUUUCACCUGAUAAUGUUUCUUUCACUGUGGUCCUCACUGCAUGUAGCCAUGCUGGCCUAGUCGAGGAAGGGAAGAAGUAUUUUGCGCUGAUGAGGAAUGAGUUUUCUAUUGUUCCAUCUUCAGACCAUUAUGCUUGUAUGGUGGACCUUCUUGGUAGGUCGGGGAAAUUGAAAGAGGCAUAUGAGCUUAUAGAAUCGAUGCCUGUGGAACCUCAUGCUGGGGCAUGGGGUGCAUUGUUGGGUGCUUGUAGGGUACAUUGUGAUAUUGAGCUCGGAGAUAUUGUAGCGAAGAAGCUUUUCAAAAUAGAACCUCAGAAUGCUGGUAAUUAUGUCUCACUAUCAAACAUCUAUGCGGCUGCUGAUAGAUGGGAAGAUGUGUCGGAUGUGAGGACAAUGAUGAGAGGCAGAGGGGUUAGGAAGAUACCUGGUUGCACAUUCAUUUUGCCUUAAGUAAGUGUACUCUUGAUCAUUUGAUUGCAACAACUGGAAGAUAACUGGUCGUAAAGUGCUUCCUUAAUCCUUCUGGGGAAUAAUUUUUUGGAUUGAUGAAGCUGGCAAGGAGCCAGAGAAGUUAAGAAUUAGUGCUUUUGGGAACGCUAUUCAAUUCAGCUCGCCACAGGUGAAAUUUGAUUAUUUUAUUGGACAGUGGUCUUUCUGACAAAUUUCUCUAUUUUGAUUUUCUUCUUUGUUUCUUUAGUUCAAUGAUGUAUAUGUAGUUGCGCUAACUUUCACUCUUCAUCUUCGACUUGACUCGGCUUUUAGCAAUGCACAGAGAUAAUUUUCCCAAUUGCUGACGCGAGCAUUGAGAGCUUAUAUCCACCUAAAGUCACAGCUUCGGUGUGCCAAAACCAAAAUGGUGUGCCACCUAGGUCACAUUGGAUCGCCACAGACUUUAGUGCAAAGUCAGUCUACCAUGCUUUAAUUGUAAUCUUAGUUUCUAUAAUAGUAUUAUAUUUGAUCUAGCUUCGGCCACUCAUUGCUUCUUUUUUCGGCGGGCGAUAAAGACUGCGGUGAAUAGGAUUGGGAGUAAAAUCAUCUUCUUCAAUGGGUUGACAGUUUCGUGGAGUGCUGGAGGGUGAAUAUCUUCACUAAAUUAUUGUUAUUUUUCCUUUAAAAGAUAUAUGUUAGUUUUCUAUUAUUCGAACCAUACAAUUGAUGCGGUCCUCUCAUUGUUUGUUGCUGGUAUAUUGAAGAAUAUCACGAAGAGUAUCAUAACAGGUGUUGCACCUGAAGAUUACGCAUUAUCACCACCUCAUCUUUCUUAUCAUCUCUGAAAGAAUAUUAAUUCACAAUUAAUUUGACUUUAUAUAUUGCUUUUCUUGGCUCUUUUUUUUUUUCUUUCAUUCCUUUGCAGGGGCCGAUUGUGUAGACCUUCGGCCAUCCUCAAAGGAGGAUCCCAUGAGGCUGAAGAGUACGACGAGGAGAGAUAUGCAGAUACUGUCAUAGUGGCUAAAGCAAUUCUAUGAAGAUAUAAAGGGUCGGUACUACAUCUGAAUUCCACAAUUUUAUUAGUAAUAAUCUUUUCAUGUUCAUUAUUAUUUGCCCAAAGCUAUACCUAAAGUAAUUAUUAAUUAUGCAUUAUCUUGGGAUGAUUAUAUGGACUAGUGCUUGUAUUGACCUCAUGCCUAAGUAAACCAAAAGAAGAGUAUUAAGUGUUUAGCUGCAUAUCUGUCCACAUGUAUAUCAAUACUUUUGUUUAACUUUUCCGUCCAAAAUUAGUACUAUUUUGCUCCUGACAGAUGUGGCGAGUUUUCUUCUCUCUUGCACUUGAGGAUAUGAAACAAGGACAUGACUCUACAGGAAAGCAUUUUCUUGUUUCUUUUGAAAAGUCUCUAUAGGUAAAGAACUAUAGCUUAGUAAAUUCUUCUCUCAGUGGAAACUUUAUAUUCCUUUUAGAAUUGGUUGACUGAUAGGACGGCUUCGCAUUUUCGCAACAAAAUUUCCGUCAAUAACCCAACAAAAUAGAACAAUUUCAAAAGCAUCAUUACAUUAGGUACAGACGAUGGAAGAUACAGGUGGUAUAUAAAGAGAAUAGUGUCAUUGCAUAACAAGGUAUUAAUUCUUCUAGAAGUAACCGUCAGCCCUUCCUUUGAACCCAAUCUGACCAAAUGUCAGGCAAAGGAACAACCCUAUGUGCCAUGUGAUCAUCCACAACCUGCAAAUUAUGAUCAUAAAUGAAAUCGCACUGCUAAUUAAAUAAUUAUCGAAGAAUUAAAUCAAAUAAAAUGACAAUGAGUUCAAACAGACCAGAAUUGAGAAUUGAGUGCGGGGCCUGUGGGCCAGUGGGCCAGCUCGGCUCCAAUGCUCUGGAAGAAGAGCCCGGUGAGGCUGUUGCCAUUGAUCGCCGGAAUGCUUGAUGGCGCAAGCCACCCGAUCAACCCGAACCCGAUUACAUUUAGGUCAGUCCUGAGCCAGUCCCUCUCAAAGCUUUGGUAUAGAAUCCGGAACAGGAGGAAAAGUAAAUUCACACAUCCAUGUCAAAUAUUUCUCCUCCUGAUUUAGGCUUAAGCUACUAUGGUGAUUAACAGUAAGGAGAGUACACAAUUGCAAAUGCCACUUACCAAGUGAAUCUCCCACCAUAAGCUAUCUUCUGAUUCAGAGGGUUUCUUGAGGCCACCUGGGUCCUUAUGAAUCCUAUAUAGAGUUCCAAACGGUCAAUGCAUCCAAAAUUUCUACGGGAGUCUAAGAAAAGAACAUUGUUGAAUAUGUGAAAUGAACCAGAUGAUCUUUUCCUUUGGUUGUAGUAUUAGGGUCUAUUUGGCUUUACUGUAGCAUGUAGUGAUGUUUGGUUCACUAUUUUCUAUAAGGAGAAACAACACUAUGUUAAAAUCUUUGCAACAGUUUUUUCUACAACGAAAUUAGAAUCUAGUGAGAUUUAGCUUUUGAAAUCAUGUUUAUAAUAUUUGCUAGUUCUAAUCAGUCUAUUUGUCAAAUUUUUUAUCUGAAAUAAUUGCAACUGAAAACAGAAAUAGAAGCGGGCCAAGUAGACCCCUAAACUAGUAGUACUAGAAGUACCAGAGGUGAGAGAUGGCUUCGAAGAUCGGCGGGCGAGGGAAAGUGGAGAGCCCAAGCCUGCAAUGUGGGUGGUGGUCGCCAUUGUUGCCAUUUCUCUCUUCCUCGUAUGUUUUCUCUGAGUUGAAGGGUUGUUGCAAACUAUUAGAGGCUGAGUAUGCUUGGUUUUGCAGAAGUAUGAUAUGAGCUCGUGUGAUGUGGAUCACUUCCCAUGGAUGAAACGGAUUCGUUGGGAGGGAUGCGAGCUAAUGGCGGUGCGCCACCUGGACACUUGUGGAUAAGAUAUGAUGUUUAUUUUUUUUGCGAUCUGAGUAUUAAAGGAAAAUAAUGCUAUGUGUGUGUCAAAAUGUACCCAAGUAUAUAAUUGAUGAGUUGGUGCAUUUUUAUAUUAUUAUAUUAGGCGCCAUCCACAAAUUUUGCUGGGUGUGCGUGUGUAUCUCUUGGUGCUUUUUUUCUUUUUUUUUUUUUUUUUUUUUUUUAAGUAUUCUUUAUUUGGAGUAUGUCUAUGUAAUUGGAUACAUUGGGUGAAUUCUUCGCAAAAUAUGAAUCUUUAAAAAAUGUUGCGGUUCGUUUCCUGAUGGCUAAUGUACUAAACUUUUUUACCAAUGUCCUUUCCAUCAUAUUCCUCAAAAAAAAAAAAGAAAAAAAAUUUGAAAAAAAAAACAAAAGAAGAUCUAUUACAUAGUUAGUGCAUAAGCCCAUUACUGCUCAACACAGUUUUUUUCACGAGGCCCAAAAAUAAAAGCCCGUUAAUGAUCACCAGUAGGCCGUGGCUCGGGCUAUUGGGCCUUGUUGUACACAUAUUCAGCCCAUGUAAUGCCUAUAUCUUUUUUGUCAAGUUAUUGGGCUGGGCUGAAUCUAACAUUCUUAUUGGGCUGCACUAAAAUUAUAUGGGCUUUUUUGAGCCCAAGAUUCCCGUUGAUAAGUCUAUUUUUGGUAUGUUUCGUUUUUUAUCCUAGAAAGGAAAGUUUUCAGUUUCAGGGCGUUUAAUCAAAUGUUUUCUCGCGAUAUCUCCACCUCGUGAUAUAUAAUAAUACGGUGUUCUCACCACGGUUUCGCUUAGAUGUAUUGAAUGAUCCCCAUCCGUACUAAACAUUUUGUGAUCAAUGUCUUAAAAAAUGUAAUAUGACAAUCUAAUAGAUGGAACCUCUGAUAUUUAAGAACAAUAGAUAUUUGAAAACAUUUUUGCUCUCGAUUCAAUCUCUAAAUUUUCCGUAUUUGAAAAGGUUAUUUGAGUGGUAAUUUAAAAAAUAAUAGGGGUUCCAUGAACAAAUGGAUGUUGGUGGUCUAUAGCUUAGCAUGGUGAACCAGGUGCAGGGAACAACAAUUUGUUCCAAGAGGUUUAUUGGACGUUAACUUCGUCCAAAACUGAAACUUUCCAUUUUAGGUAAAAAAACGAGACGUGUAUAAAAUAGACUUUACCAAAAAUGGAAGGUCCGGCUCCGCAAAAGCCCAUUAGAGAGAAUCUAUGGGCCGUUUAAAGGCCCAUUAGGCCGUUAGGGCCAUUAAUAUAUUUGGCCCACAUAUCACCCGCAAAAUAAUUUUUCUCCAAGGUUAUGUUAUUCUUAUUGGGCCGGGCCCCACAUGUCAGUGCAACGCAAUAACCGUGACUAAUUAAUUUACUUAUUAUUCAACUUAGAUAAAUUAAUAUAAAUUGAAAUAACUAACUUUAAAUUUCAUGGAUCUAUGUUAAAUUGACCUAUAAAUAGUAGAAGGAUCCAAAUACUCUUUUUUUUUUCCUUUUUUUUUUUUUUAAAGGUUGGGUGGUUAAUGUAAAGUAAAACAUGUAUGUAGAAUGUAGAAUGUAGACCCCUAACCUUUUUAGACUUCGAUAGUGAGUAGUUUAACUAGGAAGCCUCUAGAGUUGCUUUUUGAAUGUGGGGCCAAAUUUUUCCGGGUGUAGACUAGGCAAUAAUUUCUCAGGAAGGGCCAGGGAUUUGCUCAUCAUAUAUACAUAUAUGAGCUCAUUUACCAUCUAUUCUAAGGAUUGAGUCAUCUAUAUGUGUGUGUGUGUGUGUGUGUUUUUCUUGUAUAUUUGCAUCAAUGUGGUAGCUAGGGACCAGCCACGGUGCAUGCUUAUGUAUCUGACAUGUACUCUUUCUUAAGUAUUUUCUUGUAGUAUCAUCUAGGGUGACAUAUGAUUGCUGACUUAAAAACAAAAAAAAAGAAAGAAGAAGCAAAGAUAGAGAGAAACUGCAGCUCCAAAGCUCCAAAAUCAGGUGUUACAUAAGAUUGUAACGUCGCAAUAAUUCCAUAUUGGAUGAAAAAAUAAUUCUGAUUUGAAAUUAUAUGAAGCCUUGCAGGUUGAUAAUAUUAACCAUACUUACGUAUUUUGAUAUCGGUUGUUUGGAUACAACGAGUUAUUAUUACUGACGGAUCGGAUCGUUACAUUUAUUGUAGAAUUUAACAUGGUAAAUCCAUUACCAUGUUAAAUUCUGCUUUAAAAUUUACAUAAAUGGUAAUCCGUUAGCUCACACCAAUCCUCCUUACUGAGUUUUUUUUUUUUUUUUUUUCAGCGGAUAAUAUACUUGUUCUAUCGAAAAAAAUCAUUUUGUUGGAGCGACGAAGAAAUUUUUAAAACAACUAUUUCUGCGCUUAAAUCAUGUCUCUACUUUGUAAACAUCAUACAACACAGGAUUAAAUAAAUCUAAUUCUGUUUUAAAAAAAAUUAAUUUCAGUCGUCUAUAUAUAUAUAUCAUAUAUAUAUAUAAUAUUUAUAUAAGUAUAUUACAGUAUUGAGGCUUUUUGGUCAAACAUCUAAUAGUUUUGGUAUAAAUCACUCCUUAAAUCUAUUAAUAACCUUUGAUCAAACACUAUCCACCAACCCACCUGAAAAACCUAAUUCGUCCAACCAUCAUAUCUCAACCUGCUACAUUCAUUCAAUCCAAAAGCAAAUAAAACUCAAAAACACGACUCCGCUUUGACUCUUUUUGAAAGUAUUCCAAAGCCACUAUAUAUAUAUAUAUAAAUGUUUGAGCUAGAAAUACUCUCAAAAAACGACAUCAAGAGAUUUGUGCUUUUGAGUUCUUUAACCCUUAGACUGGAAAAAAAUGUAAGGUUGAGACUGAAGGCGGUGAGUGAGGGAGGAUAUACAAGUGCAGGGUGGAGUCAUUGAGGGCAGACAGUGGUCAUGCUCCCCUCCCCCUCACUGAAAUUAUCUUAAAAAUUACAUUAAAAUUCCUUAUUAUAAAAUAUAAAUAAAAUAUUAUAAAUUAAUUUUAGUUACGAAACCAAAAAUAAUUUUUUUUUAAUAAAAUAUUUUGCCUCAAUUUUUUUUCGAUAUUUCUAUUGGUCCUUUUCUCACUUACAAACUCUUACGGUCUUAGUUUAAAUCUUUUAAAACAUAUGUCAUUAAUUAUAUUGCUUAAGUAAUAUAUAACUUGAGUGAAUCCGACAAAUUUUUUUUCUCUCUUAAUCGACCGAUAGAAUUUUUCUAAACACUUAUCAAAAUAAUCUAAAUUUUGGCGCCACCCCACCGCCCGACAUCUAAUUCUGACUUCAUCGCCUGAGAUGCUGGCUAAAGGCAUGACACUAGUAGUUGAUUCAACGAGCUAUCUAGUAAUUCAAAGGGUAUAAUCCAUGACUAGAAACCUUAAGAAGCAUCAAAGCAGGGUGAUACUUGCUAAAAGUAUCUAGCUCAAACUUAUAUAUAUAUAUAAUAUAUUAUAUAGUAGAGCUACUAAUGCUAUUAUAUAGCACCCUAAGUUUUAUUAUGGAGCGACCACCAUCAAGUUUUUGGUCCAUUUGGAUUAAGAGAUGUGUGGUUAGGCAAAUCAAUGGUGCGCCCGCGUACGGUUGAUGGAUGGUUGAUUGAAUAGUCAUAUCUUAACGGAGUGAAAACUGAGCAAAAAUGCAUCUAAUGAUAUCUAAACGCGCGAAAACUUGUUAGCAUCAAAGUGCUUCCAUAGCUAGUAAUAGCAAGUAGCCACCGACCAUAAUAUAUACUAUACUAUAUAUAUAUAUAGUCAUAUAAGUUACUAAACAAUUAUGGCUGAAAUAUUAAUUAAUAGUCUAAAAAAUUAACACGAGCAAUUUAGUCGCCAUCAUUCAAUUUUCGUAAACUUCUUUGAAUUAAAAGAUGUUAGGUAGAUAUGAUGUGACCCUUGAACUGAGGUUGAGUGAGUCUGCUUGGUUAAAUAAAUUAAUAUCUAAAAUCGCGAAUGAAAGUGAUAAAAAGAUAUAAAAUCAACAAUGGUAUUAAAUAAUUUGAAUAGCACAAAAUAAUUCGUAACUAUGAAUAGUAUCGUCUUAACCAGCCGGACAUAUAUACAUAUAUAUAUAUAGUUAGGAUAGAAUACUUUUACAGUAUCACACAACGUGAAUACUUUGUGUUUUUUAGCCUUCGAUGAGAGAUCUGAGUUGAGAUAUGGCUCCGUACGCCUGUGGGUUAAAUGUGGAAUACGGUUGAUCCAAGGUGCUAUUUGUAAAUUACAAAAAGUAAUCCACAUGUAAAAAACCAUGAUACACACAAUGGGGAUUGAUAACUUGUAUACAAGUAAUCUUUAGAUCAACUCUAUAUAUAAAUACCUAUAUAAUAGUAUUAUAUUAGUUAUAUAUAUCAAUCAUAAAAUGACCAUGUGAAUACUCUCAAAUUCCUUCCCCCAUGUAACUCUCCUCGCUUCCUUUCUUCCACUCGUCCUCCCCACUACGAGAAGAAAGGACGGGAACCGUCGGGGAGAUACGUGGCCCAAAGCACCAGUGGUCCCGCACGAGACGACAACGCAAUCCCUGAUCGACACCGUUGUCCUCCUCUGAUACCCUAUUACCGACCAGAGCACCUGUAGAUAUCGUGGGCGCGACAGUGAGCCCACAAAAGAGAGCACCGCGUGCCCCUUGGGGGGCGUGCUGCUCGGGCCCACGUGGCGUUAAUCAGCAUAUAUAUAUAAUAUCAUACUAUCACUAUACUAUACUAUAUAUAUAUAUACUAUAUAGUAUAUAUAUACGAGGUACGGCUAGAAAUACUUUUACAAGUACACUCAAGGUAAACUUUGAUUUUUUAACCGCAUUGACUCUAACUUUUUGAUUAACUAAUCCAGUCUUUCGGACCUCAAACACAUUUCCAGCUUAUCACACAUACUACCUACCACCACACUUACCAUUAAUUCACUUCUUCAUCCAUCACCAAUUAUCUCCCAUCCAAAGUGGCUACGAAACAGUUAUGCCAGUGGUAAAGCACAAGUAUCACUUGGUUGAUACUUCUUAACAAGAUAUUAUUCAACGUCUACACUAAUAAUAUAGUUAUAAUUAAUACUAUGAAUCACCUAUAUAGUACACUAUCAUAUAUAUAGUAUGAUAUAUAUAUGUGACUAAUGAAGUGGAAGCUCUCUAUUGAUAGGAUAUGAAAUACGUAAGGCAUUUAUCACUAUCUAAAUUUUCGUGUGGUUUUUUCAGCGGAUAUAUACUUUGGUUCUAUGGAAAAAAAUCAUCUUUUUGUUUGGAGACGAAGAAAAGUUGUUUAGAACAACUAUUUUGGCGUUAAAUCCAGGUCUCUUAUUUGUAAAGUAUCAGCAACAAGGCAUUCAUGUACAGAUUCUGAAUUUGUUUUUAAAAAAAAAUUAAAUGUGAGUGUCCUCAUACUAUAAUAUAUAUAAUAUAGUAUAUAUAUAUAUAUUAAUAGCGGUUUUGUGAUUCAAACACUUAGUUUUUGAUAUACUCUUGAAUCAUUAAAACCUUUGGGAUCAAACACUAUUCGCCACCCCGACCAGACCUAUGCCAUCAUCUCAACCCUAAUUUCUUCAUCCAAAAGUAAAAAUCACAUAAAGCAGCAUCCUCUUUGGUACUUUUGGAAGUAUUGCUAGCUCCAACUAUAUAUAAUAUAUAGUAUAUUUUGAGCUAGAAUACUGCUCAAAAAGCAUCAAGAGAUCUUGUGCUGUUUGAGUUGUUUUAACCCUUUAAUGGAUAAAAAUGUGAACGUUGAGAUGGCGUGCGUAGGGUGGUGCAAGGGUGGAGUCAUUGAGGGCCAGACAGUGGUCAUGCUCCCUCCCCUCCUAAAUUUUUUAAAAUUACGAUAAAAGUCCUUCUAUAUAAAAAAUUAAAAUAUUAUAGAAUUAUUAAUUUAGUAGCCAAAUUAAUUUUUUAAUAGAAAUUUGUGCGCUCAAUUUUUUUUAAAAUUCGAAUUUCUUGCGUCCUUAUUCCCUUCUCAACUUUACGGUGGCGUGUCUUCUCUUAAACAUAUUGUCGUUGAGUUAUUGCUAGUAAUAACUGAGUGAAUCCGAAAAGUUUUUUUUCCUAUUAUUGCGAAGAUCGAAUUUUUUCCUAUCAAAUCUAAUUUUGGCGCCCCCCCCACCCCGAAUCUUAAUUUCUGAUAUCAUCCCUGAGAUGGUGGUGACGGUGGAAUGUAGUUGGAUUCGAAGGAGCUAUUGAGUAAUCACAGGAGUAAAUCCAAGGACUAGAAACUAGAAAGCAGUCAAGAGCGGGAUACUCUAUAAAGUAUUCUAGCUCAAUUAUAUAUAUAUAUACUAUUAUUAUAUAUAUAUAGAGGCUACUAUGACUAUUAAAUAGCACCAAGUUAUUGAUGCUACGGCCCGAAAAGUUUUUGGCCAUCUGGAUUAAGAGAUGCUGUGGUUAGAUGAAUGUGGGCCCGGCGUAGGGUUAUGGAUGGUUGAUUGAAUAAGUAUGAUCUAACGGAGCUGAAAACUGAUCAAAAAGAGUAGGAUCUAACGCGCGAAACGUUGGUCAGCCAUCAGUGCUUCAUCGCACCUAUUAAUAGCAUAGUAGCGACUCCAUAUAUUAUAUAUAUAUAAUAUAUAUAUAUAUAUAUAACUGGCUGAAAUAUUAUAAGUACUAAUGCUUAGUGCCUUAUUAAGUUUUCUACAUACUUGAGAAUUAAAAGAUGUGCGGUUAGGAUCGAUGUACCUUAAGGUGAGUGAGUGGUUGGUUUAAGAUAGCUUAUUACAUCAUAACGGAUAGAAAGUGAUGAAAAAGAGAUAUAAUUAACGGUGAAAAUUUGUAAUAGACACCAAUAAUUCCGUACUAUGGAAUAUGUAUCGCCCAUGCCGGACAUAUAUAUAGCAUAUAUAUAUGAGUAGGCUAUGAAUAACUUGUACAAAGAUAUCACCCAAGUGAUACUUGUCGUGUUUUUUAGGCCUUGGAGUGGAGAAGGCAUGUGAGGUUGAGAUGAUCGGUGGUGGAAUGGUGGUAAUGUGGAAUAGUGUUGAGGUGCCAAGGCUAUUUGUAAUUAAAAAGUAGAUCCACAUGGGUUAAAAACACUGAUAGGCAACAUGGAGGAUGAUACUUGUAAAAUCAUGCUUAGAUCAAUCUAUAUAUAUAUAGUAUAUGAUAUAUAUAUAUAUAUAUAUAUAUAAAAUGAGCAGUGUGCUCUAAUAUUCGUUCCCCAUGUAAACCUCUCUCGCUCUUAAACCACUCUCCUCGCCACGUACGGAGAAGAGAAGGAGGGGAAGUGAGGGAGAUACGUGGGGCCCCAAGCACCCAAUGGGUCCCGCACGUAUGACCCAACGCAUCCCUGUCGACAGUGUCCUCCAUGAUACACUAUUGACCACCGAGCCACCGUAGAUUCGUGGCCUCAGUGGGGCCGCACAAAAGAGACCCCGCGGUGUCCAUUGGGGGCGAUGUGGGGCCCACGUGGGCGUUAAUAGCAUAUUAUAUAAUAAUAUAUAUAAUAUAUAUAUAUAUAUAUAAUAUAUGAUAUAUAUAGAGUAGGCUAGAAUACCUUUUACAAGUAUCACUCAAGUGAUACUUGUGUGUUUUGUAACAUUGGAUCUACUUUUUGAUUAACUGAAAUGUCUUUGGAUCACAACACUUUCCCACCAUACCACACCUACCACCUACCUACCAUCAUCAUCUCAACCUCACAUUUUCAUCCAAGGGCAUAAAAACCAGCACAAGUAGUCACUUGGGUUAAAGGGAGUACUUGUAGGAGGUGAGGGUGGCUAACGUUACUAACGCAUAUACCUUAUAAUUAUAUACUAUAUAUAUAUAUAUAUAUAUGAAUAUAUAUAUAUAUAUAUAUUAGGGCUACUAUCCUAUUGAUAGGAUAGUAGCAUUUAUCCUAUCAAAUUGUUCUUGAUGAUAGAGAUUCCGAAUCUAUGAUCGGAGCAUUGAAGUUGAUCUAGAGUAUUUGAAAUAUUUAGAAAUUAAAUUUCAUAAAUUUUAAAAAUUAUUUAUAUGGUGAUCAAAGCGUCGUAAAAUUGACAAUUUUUGACGGCCUUUAUAAGCCGUUUGCUUGUUUAACGGUGUAGAGUAAUCCAAAUUGCUUGAAUUUUUGAUAGAAAAUUUUUUAUACUAUUUAGAUAAUGUUUGAUAAUUCUGAUUAUGAAUUGAGGAAGUCUAACCUCUAUUUUAAUAAGGUUAUUCAUUUAUGACCGUUCAUUUUUCAACUCUUAAGAUGAACUUGAUAAUGAAUUUUAAAUAUUACAAAAUUUAGUUUCUAAACAUUCUAAUUAUGUAGAUCAAUUUCAACGGUGCUGAUUAUCAAUUUGAAGCUCCCAUCAUUCAAAUCGACUUGAUAGGACAAUAUCCUCAAUCCGAUUAAUAGGAUAGUAGAUGGACUAUAUAUAUAUAUAUAUAUAGUCCAGCUACGGUGCUUGUAAAAGCAUCAAGCACUUGGUGCUUGUAAGUUUUUCGAAUCGACGAUUCACGCCGUUAAACAUGAUCUAGAGUAUUUGAAACUUCUAGAAAAUAAAUUUCAUAAAUUUUUGAAAUCAUUAUAAAGUCCAUCAAGCGAGUAUAAAAUGAAUGGUUAGAAUUGAAUGACAUCCUAAAUAUGGAUGAUCGGAUCCUUCAAUUUAAGAUCGGAGUUAUUAAUUUUUAUUUAGAUAGUGAAUAGAAUUUUCUAUCAAAAUUUCAACCUAUUUCGAUUGUUUUUCACCGUUAAACUAGCAAAUAUCUUAUACCGGCCAUUAAAAAUUGUUAAUUUUGUAACCUUUUGAUCGUAAGGUAAAUGAUAUCGAAAAAUUAUAAAAUUUAAUUUCUAGAAGUUUUAAAUGCUCUAGAAAAUAUUUAACAGUAUGGAUCGUCGAUUUAGAAGCUCUAUCAUCAAAAAUAAUUUAUGAGUACGAGGGCGAUCGUACUCGUAAUAGUAUAGUAGCCGGACUAUAUAUAUAUAUAUAUAUAUAUAUAUAUAUAUAUAUAUACCCUUAUUAUUAUUAAGGGUAAAUUUUAAAUACCAUCACCGUGAUUUCGCACUUUCUCAUUUUAGUAACAUAUAGUUUAAAGUGUAUCACUUUAAUAUUCUGUAAUUUUUUUUUUCUCUUUCCAUUAGCACCCUUGUUAACUCUCCAUUAAAUCAUAUAAAACAAAGUUCAGAUACUUUAUGUAUACUUUAUAGAAUAUUCAUUUUAAUACUGUGUGGUUUUACUAACGUUUUACUUUAAUGCCCUAUGAUUUUACCGAAUUUUUACUUUACGAUAUUAACAUUGUCACUGAUUUAACAAAAGAAUUAGCGGAGGAAAUAAUGAAAAGAAAAAACGAAACCACAUGAUACAAAAUGAUACAUUUUAAAUCACAUAAUACUAAAAUAAAAAAACGUGAAAUCACAAAGAUGAUAUUUGAAAUUUUUCCUAUUAUUAAUUGAGCGAUCGCCGUAGAAUGGCCUACUAGGCUCGUGGGCUUCUAUUCUACUUGUCCUUGGUUUCUCACUUAUUAACAAGCAUAGGACGGUGAUAUUAAUUACUACAAAUAAUAUAAAAUUAUCGUCCAAAAAAUAUAUAAAAAAAAACUAAUUAUUUACUAUCACAUUUUGAACAAGGUCCUCUCCAUUAUUUUGAUUCGACUCAAAUUCUACAACUCCCCCAAUUCAAAACUCUGAUCUCUUAAUUAAUAGUUUGAAAAAUAAAUACUAGACUCUUCAAUUUUACUUUUCCGUAUUGACACCAUAAAAACAGACGUUUUGAAUUAAAGUAACAACAAUUCAGCUGUAUGUUAUAUUUAGCGAGACUAGAGAUAACUGAGUUACAUUUUGGGGUCUUUCCACAAGCAAACCUCUCUAAGGUAAAAAAGCAAAGCUACUUUUGAAGGAAUCGAGCUCAUAGCUAAGCGGCGGAUCUUCCUUGGUACCAUCUAGUUAACACUUAACACCGAAACGUUUGUUUUAAUUGACACCCUGAUGCCACGACGAGAACAAACAGCCUCACCCUUUUGUCAGUAAUUUGGUGGGUCGUCUGGACGGAUAGAAAUAAUUUCAUUUUCCGAGCAGCACCCCCUGACGCUACAAAAUCUCUGGCACCCUGUUAAUCUAUUAACGAAGGUUUGGAAAGAGCUACUAUGAUAUGUCUUUAACUUUCUACAUCUUACUUCUGUUUUUUUUCUACUUCCACCCUCCUCCCCUUUCUUCCUUUUUUCGCUUCUUCUUACUAUUUUUUUUAUCUACCUAGUUCAUUUUGCUUAAUGAAUAAAACAUAUAGCUCGCUACCUAUUUCUAAAAAAAAAAANUUGUUUUAGCUGUCAUAGUAAACAAAGUUUAUGGCCUAAUUAUAAUUAGGUCAAUCCAUGUGCCUCCAAAGUGCUUGAACCUACACAGAUUUUUGAUAGUGCGAUUUAUAUAGGCAAGGGCGCGCCUAGGAAACAGCUUUGUGGCCCCAGGUUUUUGGGACUAAGCAAAGAGCAGUGUAUAUAUAUACAAUAGCUGUUAUUAGUAACGUGCUCUUCCUCAGUGUUGUUGGUGAUUUUUGCCCACAAAUCGAAGAGCCAAACAAAUUGAAAACAAAAAAAAAAGAGAAAAAAAAAUCAUUUAAAAUUUAACCAAGGACGCACAAGUGGUCCAUCUUCGUGCAUGCAUGUAGCCUAAAACUAAUGCAACUCGAUAGAAUUUGAGAGAGGACCAUUCUAUAUAUAUUUUACUUAACCAUCCAACAUAUAACUGCAGUUAAAUAUAUGCUUGCUAAAGCAAUCACAACCAUUGAUACAUAACAAUUGCGCGCAUUUCAAUUUACAAUCCCGCUAUGAUCAAUCUUUUAGAUAACACGGUAUCAAAGUCGGUCAUAAUUAUUAACCCUCUUUAGCACUCAAGGAUUACAGAUUUUAUACUUGAUCCUUGAGGGAUCUUUAAUUAGUUUAAUCUCUAUCUCAUAUCUUUUUGUCACAUGCAUGAUUCAUUUGAUUACUAAUAACACCUGUCAUUUAUGCAACAUCUGUGUCAUAAUAAUUUAUGUAGGACACAUGUGCUCCAUUUCUCUCCACUGUCGCUACAGAACCUUCUUCAAGGUUGAGGAAGACCAUUAAAACAUAAAAAAUAAAUAAGAUAUCAAAGGACCACAAAAUUUCUCAAAUUUACCACAUAAUAAUUAUAUAUAUAUAUAUAUAUACACACACACACACACCAGAUAUUUCAGUUCAUGCACCUAAUAGCCUCCUAUUUUGCUGCACAAAGUCCAUCAUAUGAUUCAUAUCCCCUGGAAAGAGACAAAGUGGGCCCUUUCAUUGCAUGAACCCAAACACUGUUGCACUAUACGUGUCAUCCACUCGAAGGGCAACUUAACAAAGAAACAGAAGAUGAGUUACCAUGUGUUGUUCCUCUCAUCUCCAUAAACAGAGUGAGUUACACGACCUCCUCCUCAUAAUUCAGAAGCUACCAUUUUGUUGAUGUGCACAUAAAAAAUAUGUAUACAAGAAGGGGUGCAAUAAGAUGCCUACAAGUGUUAGGAGGCGGUUUGCAUGAUUGAGUUUUAAGGGGUAAUAAAGGGAAGAGAACAACCACACAAUAAGAACAACAUGGGGAGGGGAAACAUUAUGGGCGAUUGAGAGGAAUUGUAUGGAUGGGGCAUUGUACACGACACCAAAUAUAUAUAGAGUGAGGCUACUAUGCUAUCGGAAGCACGGAGCCUUCCGUACUUCCAGCUCGUUUUCGAUGUUGCGACUUUCGAAUCCUCGAUCGGCUCCGUUAAACUUGAUCUAGAGUAUUUGAAGUACCUAGAAAAUAAAUUUUAUGAUUUUACGAUAUCAUUUACCUAGUGAACGAAGGGGCUCAAAAUCAACGGCUGAAAAUAANACGUGUGUACGCGUGUGCCGUGAAAAUAAACAGUAAAUAAAAGAGACGGUAAGUUAUUAAUUCAACACGUAAAAAAAAAGCAAUUUUUUUUAUUUUAUACUACAUGUCUAUAAACCUACGUGGCCUGUGCAUUAAUAAAAAUUCUUGUGUUUAGUUGGAUAAACUUUCGAGUCUUUCAUUUUAAUUUUAAAAGUUUUAAACUUAUCCGUAAAGGUUUUACCUGGGUUAAAAUCAAGUGGAGAUAUCUUAAGGUGGGUUUUUUAUAUAUAUUUUAUUCUUUAAAAGGAACGUAAUCACAGAAGAGAUGACACCCCUUACCAAUGUAGGUACGUAGUAAUUAACAAGUUAUUAAUUUUUUAUUGUACGUACGAAAUUUUAGCAACUUUUGUUCAUGUCGAUCAUUAAUAAGCGCACUCCUCCCCUUUCUAACACAACAACUUAGUGAUUAAUUCCUGAACCAUCUUGUAGAAUCAAUUACUUCGAUUUAAUGUGAAAACCAGGAGCCUGAUACUUAAGAUAUUGUAAUACCAAGAGUUUGAAAUGAAAUAAUAUUAUGAUCACUUUAUGGGCGCGCUACGACCUAUAUUUAAAAAAAAAAUUAUUUAAAAUCAAAAAAUAUAAAAUUUUAUUAAAAUAUUCAGAUUAAUAAUUAAUUUAUUUUCAAUAUAUUUUUAUUAAAUUAUCAAUUAAAAUAAAUUUAUUUUAAAUAACUUUGCUGUUGGUGAUGUUUUUUACAAUGUAAAUUCCUACGAGAAAAAAUAUAAAAUGUUACGAAUUUUCGCAGGGUUAUAUAAGGUUGCAGUAAAAACUUUCGCAGCCAGUUUCACAGCCGUUUACUUCUCAGCGGCACGUAUAUAGUUGCGAAUAUGAUUCGCAGUCAUUUUAUAUAAGACUACGAAAUUUCACAGUCUUAAAAAUUUUAGGGCUGCGAAAUUCGCAGCCUUUUAAUUUUUAUCAACAUUUUAAAUAGUAGUAAAUUAUUUAACAAACUAUAGUAUACUGCUGCAAAAAACUUCGCAACCAUAAAAGAUAUAACAUUUUUACGAACCUCUGCGAAGGGGAUUCUCAGCAGAUUUUUCGCAGAAAUAUAAUUAAAAAAAAACAUCACUUGAAUAAAAUAUUUCUAAAUACACUUUUUUCUAAACUCUAUUUAUAUAGUUUUAUUAAAAUUUUUUAUUAUUUAUCUUCCCUUUAUUUUAUUAUCUUCUUAAACAAAUUAUUUUAAUUAAAAUAUAUAUACGUGUGCGCGUGAUAUAAAGAUUUUAGAAUGAGGAGUUUAAAUUUAAUACAUAAAAAAAUAUGUAGCUAGUUUAAUCUAAAAUAAUACGCUAAAUAAUGCACAUAAUAAUUAUUAUAAUUAAUUAAUAUAAUAUAUGUUACUCAAUAAUUAUUUAAAUUAAUUAAUUAAAGUAUCUCAAAUCUCUAAAUUUUAAAAUUUAAAACUUCAAAUUUUAAACUUUUAUUUAUAAUAUUUAAUUUAAAUUUUAAAUUUUAAAAUUUUAAACUUUCAUAGUUUUAAAAUUUAAAACUAUAUAUAUAUAUAUAUCUCUCUCUCUCUCUCUCUCUCUCUCUCUCUCUCUCUCCCCCAAACCCCCCUCUGCACAGUGGGGUUGUGAUGUUGUUUUUGCCAGAUAUCGCUGUGACAAUUUACAGCCAUGUCCAGUUUUUUUCACGACGACCGAUUUAAUGGCUGUGAAAAGUUUUCACAACGAUAUACAUCCCAGCGAUCCAUAUAUCACUGUCAAUUUCUCACAGCGAUAUUAGAUUUUUCUCACAACGAUUAAAUCGUUGUGAAUAAAUUCGUAGAUCGUUGGCGGCCUUGAGAUGGAACAACCGACGCCACCGCCUCCUCAAUCCAUCACCUUCAUGCAAUAGUUUUUCAGCACUAUAUAGUACUAUAAUUAAACAAAAUAAAAUGCUAGAUAGUAAAAUCAAAAUUUUUAAAUAUCUGGUAGUUAUUUCUAAAUGAUCUAAAGUUGAAGUUACUUUGCAUGCAUUUUUUACCUUUCUGUUUUUUUUUUUUGCCAAUUUGUUAUUAAUAUUUUUUUUGCGGUCCUAUUUUUCUCAAUUUUGGUACCAAUAUAUGUAUGGGUCUAAGUCUCAAUAUUGAUAUAUUUUACAAGACAAAAAUGAAGAAUUAUUCUGCAAGCACGGAAGACUAACGGUGGAAACUCGAUAGCACUAAGGAUUUAGUGCUAUCGAUAGUAUCCACUACAACAAAUAGAGCUUCUUCCGACAGUUUUUUUACCAGCAAUUAGGCUAACUGCCGCUAAAAGUAUAUUAUACCAGCGCUUUUUAUUUUUAUUGCAGCAGUUACUAAACCGCUGGUAUAUAUGAUGAUAAUUCUCAAAUUUAUAAAUAAUAUUGGACCCUAUAUUUUAUUAACUUUUUCCAUCAAUUGGGCCAUGGGCCAACCUUGGGCAAUAAACACUUUCCACAUUAGCUCUCCUUAUAUUUCAAAUAACCUCUCUCUCUCUCUCUAUCUCUCUCUCUCUCUCUCUCUCUCUCUCUCUCUCCAUCUCCACGCACCGUGAGCUUCGAGCUCGAUCGAUCUCCAUCUCUCUCUCUCUCUCUCUCUCUCUCUCUCUCUCUCUCCAUCAUCUAUCCGAUCAGAUCCGAUCCAAACCCUAAUCUCCACCCCCUCUAAUCCCUCCGAUCUGAUCGAAUCCAAGCCCUAAUUCUCAGAUCCCAUCCAUGGCGUCCCUCUCCUCCCCUCUGCCGCUCCCCUCCGCGGCGGCGGCGCUCCGCCGCGCUCGCCGCCCCGCCCCGAUCGCCGCGGCGAAUCCGUUGCAGUCGCCGUAGCCCUCGCCAGAGCCGAGGAGGCGAUCUCCGUAGUGGGCGCCGCUGUUUCAGCCGAUCGUCGGCGACGUGGCCGGAGGAGGCGGCGGUGCUGCGGCGGCGGCGGAGGAGGUGGCGGCGGAGAGGGAGAGGGAGAGGUUGACGGCGGAGAAGGCGAGGGUUCUGAGGGUUCUGAGGAGGGAGACGAGGGCGACGGAGGGGUGGCACGACGCCAUGUAUCACUCCACCAUCGCCUCACCCGACGAUCUCGAGGUUUAAAACGACGAUCCUGAAUAUACUCGGUAUGCCCUAUAUAUGUAAC